rnacentral:rRNA from 1 species
GGUCUAAGUGCAACGGUUAACGGUUGUGUUGCUAUAAAANCUGUUUAGCUAGAGUUGGAUAGAGGCAAAGUGGAAAUUCCAGUGUGUAGUGGUAAAAUGCGUAAAUAUACGGAGGAACNCCAGAAGCGAAAGGCGGCUUGCUGGGUCUUAACUUGACGCUGAGGCACGAAAGCGUGGGGAGCAAACAGGAUUAGAUACCCUGGUAGUCCACGCCCUAAACGAUGAGUACUAAACGUUGGAUAAAACCAGUGUUGAAGUUAACACAUUAAGUACUCCGCCUGAGUAGUACGUACGCAAGUAUGAAACUUAAAGGAAUUGCGGGACUCCGCACAAGCGGUGGAUCAUGUUGUUUAAUUCGAAGGUACCCGAAAACCCUCACCAGGUCUUGACAUGCUUUUGCAAAGCUGUAGANANACAGUGGAGGUUAUCAGAAGCACAGGUGGUGCAUGGUUGUCGUCAGCUCGUGUCGUGAGAUGUUGGGUUAAG